rnacentral:rRNA from 1 species
CUUCUGGGUGAAACGCCCGUCUAAGUUCCUUGGAACAGGACAUCAUAGAGGGUGAGAAUCCCGUAUGUGACUGGAAAUGUUAACCUAUGUAAAGCUCCUUCGACGAGUCGAGUUGUUUGGGAAUGCAGCUCUAAAUGGGAGGUAAAUUUCUUCUAAAGCUAAAUAUUGGCGAGAGACCGAUAGCGCACAAGUAGAGUGAUCGAAAGAUGAAAAGCACUUUGGAAAGAGAGUUAAAAAGCACGUGAAAUUGUUGAAAGGGAAGCGCUUGCAAUCAGACUUGUUUAAACUGUUCGGCCGGUCUUCUGACCGGUUUACUCAGUUUGGACAGGCCAGCAUCAGUUUCGGCGGCCGGAUAAAGGCUCUGGGAAUGUGGCCUUCACUUCGGUGAAGGUGUUAUAGCCCAGGGUGUAAUACGGCCAGCCGGGACUGAGGUCCGCGCUUCGGCUAGGAUGCUGGCGUAAUGGUUGUAAGCGACC